UCCCUGUAAUAUUUUAAAUUAUUUCCUUAACUAUUUCUGGAACUAACAUUUGGGUUGUUGCUUGCCCAAGAGUAUUCUAUUGUGCGCUCUAGUGACAAUGAGCAGAUUAGGCUUGCUGGUACUUGCUUCUAUCUCAAAUAGAUGAGUGUCAUUGUAAGGGCUGAGUUUCUGACACAAUAUUUACAAUUAUAACCUCAAAAGUUGGUUUCUGUGCAUUUGCUUGAAUAAUCAAUUAGGAUUCUUUGUUCUGGUUUCAGUCAGUAAAUUUGCUCCUUAGAGCGUUUUUAUGUAACCACUUUUUGAUUGAGACAUCUGUGGAAAAAUAACAGGGAAAGGUUAAGUUAAACCCAAUAUUAAAUUAAAAAAAAAAUGUCAGAUUUUGAGGCAUUAGAAUUGUGCUUGGUGUGAAAUAUUUUAGGUCUUAAUUCACCAGUUCAUCUUCAUUCUAGAAACACUUCAGUUUGGGGACUACAGAGAGAUUUUAAUUUAGGUGUGUUCCUCUACCCUGUAGAAUCAGCCCAGUGUUAUUUUGCUCACCUGGAGAUCUACCUCCUGUAAUAGAAGGAGGCCAAGUUUGUUUUAAAACCUGAAUAUUAAUGUGUUACCAUAUUUCUUAGAGGAAGUUUGAUUUAAUCUGAAAGCCUAAAUGCUUCGAAUUGGAUAUGCCCACAUCCCAGCUGCACACAUUCCUGGCAGCGAAGAGAAUGAGAUGAAGCAAAGAUUUCUCAGAUGUUGGCACGCCAGGAAUUAUUUCAUCAACUCCUGAAAUGCAAAACCCAUGGCAAGACAGAAAAGGCAGUCUUGUGAUUGCACCUCUGACCUAAAGGACAAGCUUUUUCCAAGUAUGAUUUCAUUCAGGUAGUGAGAGCAAGACCUGGAUUAAGAAACAAAAAUAUUGGCCUUAGGCAAGCAGGUGAGCUCAGUUUUUUCUGUUUUCCCCCUGGCUUUGUGAUCAUACCAUGCACAUGAUCAGACUGUCUGCCUUCCCCAACCAGAGCAUUCCUCAACAAAUCCAAGAGCUCUUGAACUCAGCAGACUUUCCAAACUUUCUCCAUGUUCAUAUAGCUUAAGUCAGG
rnacentral:lncRNA from 1 species